rnacentral:rRNA from 1 species
AUUGAACGCUGGCGGCAGGCCUAACACAUGCAAGUCGAACGAGUGGCGGACGGGUGAGUAAUGUCCGGGAAACUGCCUGAUGGAGGGGGAUAACUACUGGCAACGGUAGCUAAUACCGCAUAAUAUCGUAUGCGCCCAGAUGGGAUUAGCUACUAGGUGUGGUAAAGGCUAACCUAGGCGACGAUCCCUAACUGGCCUGAGAGGAUGACCAGAAAUACGGGAACUGAGACCCGCUCCAGACGCCUACGCAGGGCAGCAGUGGGGAAUAGUGCACAAUGGGGGCAAACCGGAUGCAGACAUGCGGGUUGUACGAAGAAGGCCUUCGGGUUGUAAAGUCUUUUCAGCAGGGAGGCGUUACCCGCAGAAGAAGCACCGGCUAACUCCGUGCCAGCAGCCGCGGUAAUAC